rnacentral:rRNA from 1 species
UACAGAGGUCCCAAGCGUUGUUCGGAUUCACUGGGCGUAAAGGGUGCGUAGGUGGUGGGGUAAGUCGGAUGUGAAAGCUCGGAGCUCAACUCCGAAAUGGCAUUGGAAACUACCCUGCUAGAGGAUUGGAGGGGGGACUGGAAUACUUGGUGUAGCAGUGAAAUGCGUAGAUAUCAAGUGGAACACCAGUGGCGAAGGCGAGUCUCUGGACAUUUCCUGACGCUGAGGCACGAAAGCCAGGGGAGCAAACGGG